rnacentral:rRNA from 1 species
UAUUGGACAAUGGGGGCAACCCUGAUCCAGCCAUGCCGCGUGAGUGAAGAAGGCCCUCGGGUUGUAAAGCUCUUUUGUCCGGAAAGAAAAGCUUCGGGUUAAUACCCCGGGGUUCUGACGGUACCGGCAGAAUAAGCACCGGCUAACUUCGUGCCAGCAGCCGCGGUAAUACGAAGGGUGCAAGCGUUACUCGGAAUUACUGGGCGUAAAGCGUGCGUAGGUGGUUGUUUAAGUCUGAUGUGAAAG